rnacentral:lncRNA from 1 species
CCAGCUUCUGUCUGUCUGGCUUUGGUUGAGAAAUUAAUGUCUGUAUUGAGGGAUCUCCUUGGAAAUCACCAGGAUGCUAAAGAUAGCCAAUAGCAUGUAAAUCAAGCCUAAAGCAAACACGCUGCUCCUCUCUAGUGAGGAGAUGAUCCAGUGAGAAGAUAGAUCACCUCGCCCUGUAUUUCUCUCUGCAUUGUGAGACUCCAUGCAGCAGCCAUUUGUCCGCCAGAAGGAUGAAGAUGGCAGACUGCAGUCCGACAGCUCUUAAAGACAGCGGUUUCACUGUUUGACAUGUUUGGCCAAGAUUUUGCCCCAGGAGGACCCACAGCCAAAAUCCUACAGACACAUGGGACGGUAUUUGCUGUUGAGAAGAUCUUGCCAUCUAAACAUAUCAGACAACGUAAGAAGAGGAAUGGAAUCACAUUAGGGGAUAAUGAUUUGUCCAUGCUCUGAAAGAACUCCUUGGCAUCAAAUUAAGCCCAGAUCUCUGCCUAAGCCCUUACUGUCAGUUAGCCAAACAGAUAUGGAAAGACUAAUAAAG